UCACUUCAUCAGCCAAUGCUUGAUUGUAAAGACUAUGCAACCGAUCUUCCAGCCAGUGUUUUAUAUACCUAGGCUGCCUUCUGUUGAGAGUUUUGCUUUUUUGUUCCUGCCUGGCUGAAACCUUUUGUAAAUCUCUGAAAAGAUAAACUGCCUCAGUCUCCUGUCUACUCACUGCAUUCAGGAGCGACAAAGAAGAAAUAGAUGUGCAAAACAUAUGUUCCAGAAGCAAAGUAAUUUCUCCACAUCUGCAGAAUAAAGACCCUUGGACACCCUGCAAUCUAUUCUCCACCAGAUUCCUCAGCUGCAUCUCCCCCAUCUUCUGAUUCAGGACAACACCUGGCCUCUCUCGGGGGAUGCACCCCGCAGUGGAGAGUUGCAGACUGAAGUGGCAGCUGGUCUGGUGCGUCCACUCUCUGCUGUCAACCUCCUACUGCCAAUUGGAGUAAACAGAAAGAAAAUCUAUAUUAGCCCCACUUAUUGCAUUGUUUUCUGUCCCAUAACUGCUCUUGCCUAUCAAACAGUGCAUUAAAUUAUG